AUUGAACGCUGGCGGCAGGCCUAACACAUGCAAGUCGAACGGUAACAGGAAGCAGCUUGCUGCUUCGCUGACGAGUGGCGGACGGGUGAGUAAUGUCUGGGAAGCUGCCUGAUGGAGGGGGAUAACUACUGGAAACGGUAGCUAAUACCCCAUAAUGUCGCCAGACAAAAGAGGGGGACCUUCGGGCCUCUUGCCAUCGGAUGUGCCCAGAUGGGAUUAGCUUGUUGGUGGGGUAACGGCUCACCAAGGCGACGAUCCCUAGCUGGUCUGAGAGGAUGACCAGCCACACUGGAACUGAGACACGGUCCAGACUCCUACGGGAGGCAGCAGUGGGGAAUAUUGCACAAUGGGCGCAAGCCUGAUGCAGCCAUGCCGCGUGUAUGAAGAAGGCCUUCGGGUUGUAAAGUACUUUCAGCGGGGAGGAAGGGAGUAAAGUUAAUACCUUGGCUCAUUGACGUUACCCGCAGAAGAAGCACCGGCUAACUCCGUG
rnacentral:rRNA from 1 species